rnacentral:tRNA from 1 species
AAUUUGAAAGCGAAUAAUAGCAGCGGAUUCUUACUCCGUAGGUGGGUUGCAUUACCCUCAAAUU